AACUCAUGCCUUUCCUCCCCAACUUGUUUUUGGUCUUGGUGUUUUAUCACAGCAAUCGAUAUUCUAAGACAACACACUUUAAAACCAUUAACAUUGUUUGUACAUCGCAGGUGCAAUAGAGUUUAAGCACACACAGGAAAAGAAGAUGUUGACUCCGCAGAUGAAAGCACUCGUCCUGGAAGCCUGGUGGCUCCAGUUCUGUCCCCAGAAUCCAUGCAAAAAGCCCAAUACAGCAGCAUUCAUCUGUAACUCCAGCACUCCUGUGUUUCGAUAGGAGGUAGAGACAGGAGAGUCGGUAGGAAACUCGAAGAGCUAGCCUGGAGUAUACAACAUGAUGACAGAAACAGCCAAAGGGACCCUGCCUCAGGAAAAAAAAAAAGGCAGAAGAGAAUCCACUCUGAAAAACCUGUCAUCUGGCCUCCAUGUGUGGUGUGCAUCAUCUCUUACACACAUGCGCAUAUGCACACACACACACACUCUCACUCACACACACUCACAUGCACCUGCACACACUUAAAUCCUUUGUUUAAAAAAUAGUUAAAACGAUAAAACUUAUGCAUAUUUUCCCACAACAACGGUCUGUGAACACAGAGCAAGGAAUGCAUAUUUGAGCUCAGUGCAUGCGGCCAUUGUCUUCCUAUGUGUGCUCAGCGGAAUCCUUGUUGCAGAGGCAUCUCUCUUCCUUAUUCCAGAAGGCUGAGAACUUGCCGUUUACGAGCUUGUCAGUUCUGGUGAGUCUUUCCAUAUCACAGCUGGCAUGCCUGGAGACCCUGCCUUUUACCAUGGAGACCUACAAAUCACAGUCCACCCGAGGAUGAGGACCCCCUUCUUCACUGGAACCAGGGUCAAGGGAGGCCUCCCUUGCCUCACGAUCCCGCCCUUUGGGGUUCUUUAUGGCUACCUCACUGCACUGCAGGGAUGGGGUUUGUUAGCAUUGUGUACCCUGAGUCAAAUGACUUGGCUAAACCAAGGUAAGUCAUUUCUCAUGUCAUGCGGAUCCAUUCCACAGAGAAAAAGCCCUGCACCUUCUGCACUUGAAAGCCAGACUGACGGCCCAGGUUGCCAUGGAGACCAUGGAGGCCACCGGAACUGUUGGCUAGUGGACUCUGUCAUUUUUUAAAUAACUGCUUGUCAAGUCCGGGCGCUAACUACAUCUAGGACAGCUCCAGAGAAGCAACCUCCAGAUGCUCCAAUCUCCUGUCACAAACACAGACACUUCUACUGGACCUGUUCCUUCUGACCUAUCCUCAGACGGUUCCACAGAGCCUGGACAGCAAGGAAACAGCCAACUCUCCUAAGACUGGACAAACAUCCCCCAUACCCAUUCUUCUAGGUUCCCUAGAGACACAUCACCCCAACGACAGCACGAAGCAGCCGGAUAUCACAACAACCCUAUUCCUGCUUUGCCAUCACCUCUUUCUAAUUUUUUUUCUUUUUUAAUUAAACCAAAACAGGGGAAUGUUA